rnacentral:rRNA from 1 species
CGGUGAAGCCCAGCUUGCUGGGUGGAUCAGUGGCGAACGGGUGAGUAACACGUGAGCAACGUGCCCCAGACUCUGGGAUAACAGUUGGAAACAGCUGCUAAUACCGGAUACGAGACGUGAUCGCAUGGUCAACGUCUGGAAAGAUUUUUCGGUUUGGGAUCGGCUCGCGGCCUAUCAGCUUGUUGGUGAGGUAAUGGCUCACCAAGGCGUCGACGGGUAGCCGGCCUGAGAGGGUGACCGGCCACACUGGGACUGAGACACGGCCCAGACUCCUACGGGAGGCAGCAGUGGGGAAUAUUGCACAAUGGGCGAAAGCCUGAUGCAGCAACGCCGCGUGAGGGAUGACGGCCUUCGGGUUGUAAACCUCUUUUAGCAGGGAAGAAGCGAAAGUGACGGUACCUGCAGAAAAAGCGCCGGCUAACUACGUGCCAGCAGCCGCGGUAAUACGUAGGGCGCAAGCGUUAUCCGGAAUUAUUGGGCGUAAAGAGCUCGUAGGCGGUUUGUCGCGUCUGCUGUGAAAUCCCGAGGCUCAACCUCGGGCCUGCAGUGGGUACGGGCAGACUAGAGUGCGGUAGGGGAGAUUGGAACUCCUGGUGUAGCGGUGGAAUGCGCAGAUAUCAGGAAGAACACCGAUGGCGAAGGCAGAUCUCUGGGCCGUAACUGACGCUGAGGAGCGAAAGGGUGGGGAGCAAACAGGCUUAGAUACCCUGGUAGUCCACCCCGUAAACGUUGGGAACUAGUUGUGGGGGACCAUUCCACGGUUUCCGUGAC